ACUUUGCUAAUUGUGAGGCUAAUACGUGAGAUAAAUCUCUUGAUUGCCCCAAUUAUUCCUAAGCUCAUAACAUGAAUGUUUAUUGGGUGAUUAGACCUUGUGUCUAUUGAGAAUGGGUCUCUGAUCUAUCAGCUGUUGACGGUUGUGUAUUGGACAACCGUGGCUUUGACGGAUAACGGGGAAUUAGGGUUCGGUUCCGGAGAGAACGCAUGAGAAACGGCGUUCACAGCUAAGGUUGGCAGCAGGAGCGAAAACUUUUCGAAUAGGCAAUGCCUGAAAAGGUAACUAUCCGUAUCAACAACUGCUUUUAGUAGUUGAUUGGAAUGGGAGACUUUUAGACCUAGUCUCGAGUAGCAAGUUCAGGGCAAGUCUGGUGCCAGCAGCCGCGGUAAUACCAGCUGAGCUAGAAAUAGGUAACAUUGUUGCAGUAAAAACGUACGUAGUCACCUUUGUUUUCGUACCUCUUCCUUUCGGUUGAGGUAGAUGAACACCUGGCCAUUACUUGUUUUUGGCUAUCUCCGCGAGUAAACUAGAACGAUUAACUUGAAUGUUGUAUAUGACAGCGUGGGAAACCUGAUGAUGCCUAUCGGUUUUGUGCUUAUCUUAAUCAUAGGGAUAAACUGUAGGAAUGAAUGAGGGCAUUAGUAUUUAGUAGCUAGAGGUGAAAUUCCUAGAUUUACUAACGACUAACUACUGCGAAAGCAUUUGCCUAAUUCAUUUUUGGUGAUCAAGUACUAAAGAGUGGGGAUCGAAGAGGAUUAGAUACCCUCGUAGUCCACUCCCUAAACGAUGCCAACUAGUGGUUGGUGCAUGUCACGAACUUUAUCAGAACCUUAGCAGAUAUGAAAGUCUUUGGGCUCUGGGGGGAGUACGGUCGCAAGGGCGAAACUUAAAGGAAUUGACGGAACGGCACCACCAGGGGUGGAGCGUGCGGCUUAAUUUGACUCAACGCGGGAAACCUUACUAGGGUAAGACAUUGGUAUGAUUGACAGAUUACUUGAUCUUUCUUGAUUUGGUGGGUGGUGGUGCAUGGCCGAUCUUAGUUGGUGGGGUGACCCGUCUGGUUAAUUUCGAUAACGAACGAGAUCCGAGCUG
rnacentral:rRNA from 1 species